CGGAAGAUUUAGUGGCGAACGGGUGAGGAACACGUAAGAAUCUGCCCCUCGGUCGGGGACAACUCUUGGAAACGAGAGCUAAUACCCGAUACGCUGUGGAGUGAAAGAAUUUCGCCGAGGGAUGAUCUUGCGUCUGAUUAGCUAGUUGGUGUGGUAAAGGCAUACCAAGGCGACGAUCAGUAGCUGGUCUGAGAGGAUGAACAGCCACAUUGGAACUGAGACACGGUCCAAACUCC
rnacentral:rRNA from 1 species